rnacentral:rRNA from 1 species
UACAGAGGUCCCGAGCGUUGUUCGGAUUCAUUGGGCGUAAAGGGUGCGUAGGCGGCGGGGUAAGUUUGAUGUGAAAUUCCGGGGCUCAACCCUGGCAUAGCAUUGAAUACUACCUUGCUAGAGUACCGGAGAGGAAACUGGAAUUUACGGUGUAGCAGUGAAAUGCGUAGAGAUCGUAAGGAAGACCAGUGGCGAAGGCGAGUUUCUGGACGGUAACUGACGCUGAGGCACGAAGGCCAGGGGAGCAAACGGG